UACGUAGGUGGCGAGCGUUGUCCGGAUUUACUGGGCGUAAAGGGAGCGUAGGCGGACUUUUAAGUGAGAUGUGAAAUACCCGGGCUCAACUUGGGUGCUGCAUUUCAAACUGGAAGUCUAGAGUGCAGGAGAGGAGAAUGGAAUUCCUAGUGUAGCGGUGAAAUGCGUAGAGAUUAGGAAGAACACCAGUGGCGAAGGCGAUUCUCUGGACUGUAACUAACGCUGAGGCUCGAAAGCGUGGGGAGCAAACAGGAUUAGAUACCCCCGUAGU
rnacentral:rRNA from 1 species